rnacentral:lncRNA from 1 species
AAGGAUUUUUUUUUAAUAUAUAUAUAUAUUUUUUCCAGUGGGUUAAUGGACAUCGGUAAGUAAAAGCUAAAAAGGGAGGAACAAAUGGCCUGUCUUCACACUGGAGGAAGUUUCUCCAUUGAGAAGCCAGAGCUGUCCACUCUUCGAUGAACUCAUAAGUUUCUGAGGAAAUGGGUGACUACUGAGUGACAGAUUGUUGGAAAUAUAAAGUCAUUUGGGACGGUUAUUCAGGAUUGCUCUUGGUGGAGAAAUACAGCUCUUAUGAUUCUGAGCAGCUACAUGAGAAAAUGUCAGGACUUUGUAUUGAUGGAAAUAAAAUUUUACAUUCAGUAAUGGCAGGAUGUAGCUCCAGCAGCGCAAACUCAGAGCUCAGAAUGAGUGAUCAGCUUUUUAGGAAGGAGUUUCCAAGGUCAUUAAAAGAACUUGUUGGAAAAUGUCAGCUCAAUGCCACUGAAGAGCCCUCUUUGGAGUAUUUUCCUUCCUGCUGACCAACAGAAAUGCUCCCAUCAGGGAAACCUGAGGCCAGCACUCCUCUCAACCCAAGAAAGUGCUGGUACGGGAGCAGCAGCACAGUGUUCUAAGGGGAGCUGCGUUGUCUGGGUAGAACAAGUCUUCCCUGUCGCAUGGCAUAGAGGUAACUCUAUUUCAUGAAGUCAACUGCUUUUGAAUUUUUAUCAGUAGAUCUUGAAAUUAUUCAUGCAGGACAUAAAAAGAAUUAUUUCUAUCUUAAAUAUGAGGAAACAGCGUAAGUGCACGCACAGAGGAGCAGAGACUCUCUCUUCCUACCCCAACCUGUGACACCACUUCAGGUGGGAUAAGUGUGUUUGCCUUGAGCACCUCAGUGAUGGGAGACAGAGAAGAUGUCCUGGAGAAGGUUUGCCCUUGAUUUUGGUUGGAAGAUCUUCCAAAAUGUAUCAAGUCCUCAUCUCCUGAUGUGCAGUAGUGUGGCAUGUGUGUUAACCUGCUCAGGCCCUUAAAACAGGUGGUGCAUUAGCUGAAAGCUAGACAAACAUUCAUAACCC